UAGGGAAUCUUCCACAAUGGACGCAAGUCUGAUGGAGCAACGCCGCGUGAGUGAAGAAGGUUUUCGGACCGUAAAGCUCUGUUGUUGGUGAAGAAGGAUAGAGGUAGUAACUGGCCUUUAUUUGACGGUAAUCAACCAGGAAGUCACGGCUAACUACGUGCCAGCAGCCGCGGUAAUACGUAGGUGGCAAGCGUUGUCCGGAUUUAUUGGGCGUAAAGCGAGCGCAGGCGGAAGAAUAAGUCUGAUGUGAAAGCCCUCGGCUUAACCGAGGAAUUGCAUCGGAAACUGUUUUCUUGAGUGCAGAAGAGGAGAGUAGAACUCCAUGUGUAGCGGUGGAAUGCGUAGAUAUAUGGAAGAAUACCAGUGGCGAAGGCGGCUCUCUGGUCUGCAACUGACGCUGAGGCUCGAAAGCAUGGGUAGCGAACAGGAUUAGAUACCCUGGUAGUCCAUGCCGUAAACGAUGAGUGCUAAGUGUUGGGAGGCUUCCGCCUCUCAGUGCUGCAGCUAACGCAUUAAGCACUCCGCCUGGGGGAGUACGACCGCAAGG
rnacentral:rRNA from 1 species